rnacentral:rRNA from 1 species
CUGCUGCCUCCCGUAGGAGUUUGGGCCGUGUCUCAGUCCCAAUGUGGCCGUUCACCCUCUCAGGCCGGCUACUGAUCGCNCUCGUGGGCGGU